UCAGAAAGAGGAGCGUCUGCUCCCAUAGCGCGUUUGAUUACAGAGAAGUGAAACCGCAGAAAGCAAAACCACGGAUAAAGCAGGACCGCUGUAGGGGGAUCAAGGUAUAAGAUCCGUGUCCCUGGAGUGAAAUGUGAGAGCCAAGUGCAGAGGCCAACACCUGGCACAAUACCUUGCCUACGUGUGCCGUUGUUGUAGGGAACCCAAGACAACCGGAUCUGCCCCGAGGGAGGACACAGAACAGCAAAUCCACUGUAGCGCAUGCCCACUUCCUCCUCUGGCUGCCAGGGAAACACUCGGAAUGGGAUCUUAAGGAAGAGGAUGUUUCAAUACUUGCUUUGCCAUUAAACUCCCAUGAAUAGGGUUAAAGCAAACACUCCUAACAUCUGAGACAGCUGUACCUGCGUAAUAUUCUAGUCUCUCUAACAAAGUAUUUACAGCACAGUGCUGUGAUCUGACAUGAUCAAAGCAGGCCCCUUCUUUGAUUAUUAAACAACAAAAGAGCCAGCAGAUGAUACCCCUGGAAACGUCUGCACAUGCAUCCAUCCAGUGGGGGCAUCUGGAGACAGCCGCAGAAGAAUUGCGGUACUAGUAAACUCAGCAGUACCAAGGUUACAAGACUCUGGACUUUGCCUGGGAGAACACAGCUGCCACCACAAACAGGUCCUAUUCUUCAGUGCCCAACACCUCUCCCAGGUGUGAAUUGCUUGCACCAUCUGAAUUAUUCAUGAUCCACAGAAUGUUGGCAGUGAUCGAGAAAGGAAGUGCCAUUUCCCUGGAACUGAACCUGCCAAAAAAAGAUAACAGACGGCUUUCAAGGCAUCACCUUGUGCCACACCACAAUCGCACCCUAGUCAAACUCGCCUUGUAUUUAUGAUUAAAUUAGUUACACAUCUA